AAACCACAGUCAGUUACAAAUCUAUAGAAUUGGCAACAGCAAUCCAAAUUAAACUGUGUUCUGUUUUAUGAGAAUGAUGCAUAAUUAUUUUCGUAUCGGAGGAGUAGCGGCCGAUCUACCUCAUGGUUGGAUAGAUAAAUGUUUGGAUUUCUGCGAUUAUUUUUUAACAAGAGUUGCUGAAUAUCAAAAACUUAUUACACGAAAUCCUAUUUUUUUAGAACGAGUCGAGGGAGUAGGCAUUAUUGGUAGAGAGGAAGUAAUAAAUUGGGGUUUAUCGGGACACCCUAAACCCUUCCGGAAUACAAUGGGAUCUUCGUAAAGUUGAUCAUUAUGAAUGUUACGACGAAUUUGAUUGGGAGGUACAGUGGCAAAAAGAAGGAGAUUCAUUGGCUCGUUAUCUAGUCCGAAUUGGUGAAAUGAUAGAAUCUAUAAAAAUCAUUCAACAGGCUCUGGAAGGAAUUCCAGGGGGACCCUAUGAGAAUUUAGAAAUACGAUACUUUGAUAGAGAAAGGAAUCCUGAAUGGAAUGAUUUUGAAUAUCGAUUUAUUAGUAAAAAGCCUUCUCCUACAUUUGAAUUGCCGAAACAAGAACUUUAUGUGAGAGUCGAAGCCCCAAAGGGAGAGCUGGGAAUUUUUCUGAUAGGGGAUCAGAGUGGUUUUCCUUGGAGAUGGAAAAUCCGCCCCCCGGGUUUUAUCAAUUUGCAAAUUCUUCCUCAGUUAGUUAAAAGAAUGAAAUUGGCUGAUAUUAUGACGAUACUAGGUAGUAUAGAUAUCAUUAUGGGAGAAGUUGAUCGUUGAAAUGAUAAUUGAUACACCAGAAGUACAAGAUAUUGAUUCUUUUUCUAGAUUAGAGUUUUUAAAAGAGUUUUAUGGAAUUAUAUGGGUGCUUAUUCCUAUUUUGACUCUUGUAUUGGGAAUCACAAUAGGCGUACUGGUAAUUGUAUGGUUAGAAAGAGAAAUAUCCGCAGGGAUACAACAACGUAUUGGACCUGAAUACGCCGGCCCUUUGGGAAUUCUUCAAGCUCUAGCAGAUGGGGCAAAACUGGUUUUCAAAGAAAAUCUUCUUCCAUCUAGGGGGGAUACCCGUUUAUUCAGUAUCGGGCCAUCCAUAGCAGUCAUAUCAAUUUUAGUAAGCUAUUCAGUAGCUCCUUUUGGCUAUCACCUUGUUUUAGCGGAUCUCAAUAUCGGUGUUUUUUUAUGGAUUGCCAUUUCUAGUAUUGCUCCGAUUGGACUUCUUAUGUCAGGGUACGGGUCAAAUAAUAAAUAUUCCUUUUUAGGUGGUCUACGAGCUGCUGCUCAAUCGAUUAGUUAUGAAAUACCAUUAACUUUAUGUGUGUUAUCAAUAUCUCUACGUGUGAUUCGUUGAUACAUAGACAUAAACUUUUCUUUAUUCCUUCCUUUCAAAGAAAGGGUUGGAAUGAAUUAAGUAGAUGUAGAUAUCUUCAUUUUUUUUUAUUCAUUAUUCGGGUUGAUGAACUAAAUCAAAUAGUUAUAUGAGUGAAAGAAAACAGCUUAUAUAUAAAUUCGCAGUAAAAAGAUUGAGUCUCAUUUUCUAUGUAUAAGAGUUAGAGAGUUAAGCGGAAAUAAACAUAAACAGAAGCGACCGUUUCCCCCAAGAUUGGUUGAUUAGUCAUCCUGACUUGAAGCGGGCUCAAAAGAUCAACCAUAUUGAGUUUUCACUAUCAUUUGUAUGUAUUACCACAGGGGGGGGUUGAACAAAAACGAGUGGGUGGUUAGAAACACCAAGAUAUGUAAAGGAUUAGUAAUGGAGAUUAUGUAAAUUCUCCAAAAGGACAUUUUUACAUAAAUAUACAAACAAAGAAUACUCAUUGGGGCUUUAAGUUGGUAGAAAUGAUCAGGCAAUACUCCCCACGACACGAUUCCAAUCCAGAGUAUGCUCCUAUCCACAGAUUAAAUAAAUAACUAUUGGGAACGAAAUAAUCCUUUACUUUAUUUUGUAAGCCCCCUUUUUCUCAGAAAUAGAAAGAAGAAUAGGAACGAAAAAAAGAGAAAGAAAUCCAAUUCCAAUAAAAAAAUAAAAAAGAUACCUUUUUUAUUUCCCAGAUACAUAUUAAUAGAUAUAGAAUUUGUGUCAUAAUUCAUGAAUUAAUUAUAGAAUUUUUUUCGUAAGUGAAAUAAACGGGUUAUUGAUAUUUCUACAAUAAGUAUUUUAUUGAAGAAUUAAGUUAUUACUCAACAAAGAAGAAUUAAAAUUCUUAUUGAAAUUAUUAAAGUUAAAGAAAGGGUGAGAUCUAUUCAGAAGUACCUUUUUUAUUUAUUAUUAAAUAAUUAUAACAGACAGAAUUCAAUUGGUCUAAUUUAGGACCGUCCAAUAGAUUUUUACUUUAUCCAUCCUACAAACGUACCAAGAUAAAACAAUACUGACGCGAUCCUUAGAUUUAUUUCUGGCCUUUAAGGAGCCGUAUGAGGUGAAAAUCUCAUGUACGGUUCUGUAAUAGCGAUGGUAACAGUAAUGGUAUCACCGACUAUAAUUAUCUAACAGUUCAAGUACAAUUGAUAUAGUUGAGGCGCAAUCAAAAUACGGUUUUUGGGGAUGGAAUUUGUGGCGUCAGCCUAUAGGGUUUAUCAUUUUUAUCAUUUCUUCCCUAGCAGAAUGUGAGAGAUUACCUUUUGAUUUACCCGAAGCAGAAGAAGAAUUAGUAGCAGGUUAUCAAACCGAAUACUCGGGUAUAAAAUUUGGUUUAUUUUAUGUUGCUUCCUAUCUAAACCUAUUAGUUUCUUCAUUAUUUGUAACAGUUCUUUAUUUGGGAGGUUGGAAUAUCUCUAUUCCGGACAUAUAUGUUUCUGAGCUUUUUGAAAUAAAUAAAACAUGUGGAGUUUUUGGAGCGACAAUUGGUAUCUUUAUUACAUUAGCUAAAACUUAUUUGUUCUUGUUCAUUCCUAUCACAACAAGAUGGACUUUACCGAGGCUAAGAAUGGACCAACUAUUGAAUCUUGGAUGGAAAUUUCUUUUACCUAUUUCUCUCGGUAAUCUAUUAUUAACAACCUCUUCCCAACUCUUUUCACUGUAAGGUAAAUUUACAACUUGUCUCAAACAAGAGAAAUAAACAAACAUAAAAUUAUUCAUAAUAUAUAUUAAUGAUAUGUUCUCUAUGGUAACUGGGUUCAUGAAUUAUGGUCAACAAACAGUACGAGCUGCAAGGUACAUUGGUCAAAGUUUCAUGAUUACUUUAUCUCACGCAAAUCGUUUACCUGUAACUAUUCAAUAUCCUUAUGAAAAAUUAAUCACCGCGGAGCGUUUCCGCGGUCGAAUCCAUUUUGAAUUUGAUAAAUGUAUUGCUUGUGAAGUAUGUGUUCGUGUAUGUCCUAUAGAUCUACCCGUUGUUGAUUGGAAAUUGGAAACUGAUAUUCGCAAGAAACGGUUGCUUAAUUACAGUAUUGAUUUCGGAGUCUGUAUAUUUUGUGGUAAUUGCGUUGAGUAUUGUCCAACAAAUUGUUUAUCAAUGACUGAAGAAUAUGAACUUUCUACUUAUGAUCGUCACGAAUUGAAUUAUAAUCAAAUUUCUUUGGGUCGUUUACCAAUGUCAGUAAUUGACGAUUAUACAAUUCGAACAAUUUUUAAUUCGCCUCAAAAAAAAAAAGUAAAUCUCUUGAUUAAAGAAUAAUUUAUAAUUACUUUACUAAGACUAUUACUUUACUAAUAAAUAAUACUAAGGUUCAUUUUUUUUUGAUCUAAUCUAAAGGAAUCGGGUUUCUUUCGUUUUGUUUGGUCAAUAACUACAAAUCCCAACUGUUGAUUAGUUGGUUAAGAAUCACGUCUUAAUUUGGAUUGAAAAUCCAUUAAUUAAUAUAUCUGUAAUUAUUUUUACAUAUAUAGUUUCAAAUGAGAACUACUCUUUCAGAUAACGAAUUUAAUUAGUCCAAUAAUUGUACUUACAUUUAUUCAUAUCCCUUAGGAUUUAAUUAGGAAUUGCUCAAAAAUUAUAAUUUUUUUUCUGUUCGGAUUUCAAUAAGGUCAUGAAAAACAUUUCGAUUUAUUUAUCUCUUAUUUUACAUAUAAUGGAUUUGCCCGGACCAAUACAUGAUUUUCUUUUAGUCUUUCUGGGAUCGGUUCUUAUACUAGGAGGUAUGGGAGUGGUAUUAUUUACCAACCCCAUUUAUUCUGCCUUUUCAUUGGGACUGGUUCUUGUUUGUAUAUCCUUAUUCUAUAUUCUAUUAAACUCCUAUUUUGUAGCUGCUGCACAACUCCUUAUUUACGUGGGAGCUAUAAAUGUUUUAAUCGUAUUUGCUGUGAUGUUUAUGAAUGGUUCAGAAUAUUACAAAGAUUUGAAUCUUUGGACCGUUGGGGAUGUGGUUACUUUGCCAGUUUGUACAAGUAUUUUUGUUUUACUCAUGAUUACUAUUACAGAUACGUCAUGGUACGGGAUUAUUUGGACUACAAGAUCAAA